rnacentral:rRNA from 1 species
UACGUAGGGGGCGAGCGUUGUCCGGAUUUAUUGGGCGUAAAGAGCGUGUAGGCGGUUCGGUAAGUCUGUCGUGAAAUCCUGAGGCUCAACCUCGGGCGUGCGAUGGAUACUGCCGGGCUAGAGGAUGGUAGAGGCGAGUGGAAUUCCCGGUGUAGCGGUGAAAUGCGUAGAUAUCGGAAGGAACGCCGGUGGCGAAAGCGCUCGACUGGACCUCUUCUGACGCUGAGGCGCGAAAGCCAGGGGAGCAAACAGG